rnacentral:rRNA from 1 species
GCUUGACUGCGAGAAUGACAAUUCGAGCAGGUGCGAAAGCAGGUCAUAGUGAUCCGGUGGUUCUGAAUGGAAGGGCCAUCGCUCAACGGAUAAAAGGUACUCCGGGGAUAACAGGCUGAUACCGCCCAAGAGUUCAUAUCGACGGCGGUGUUUGGCACCUCGAUGUCGGCUCAUCACAUCCUGGGGCUGAAGUCGGUCCCAAG